GCUGAGCCGUCGCCCUGCGCGCACCGGCAGUUUUGCGUGCGGCAUUUGCAGCUGCGGGGGGAAAAGUCCAGCAUGCGGGGUUGAAAAGAGGGGGGCGGGUGGAAGAAAAAGUGGAUCAAGGCCCUGAGGAAAUCGUCGUUUCAAACUGGCAAAGCCAUGGAUUGCUUCAGCCACAGAAUAUUUCGUGUUUCCAGAUACACAGGCCUCAAUGUCUUCAGGACUCAGCUGUGUUUGUACGAAGAGAUGAAGUCUACUGUCUGAAAGCAACACUGGAUUCUGGAGUACCCUUUAAAAAAAUACAAAAUUUGAGCUGCCUUCCAAGAACAUUUACUCAAUAUUGUUUUGCCUUAAAGUUACUUUUAAUUUCAUACCCAUUGCAGUUUGAAUGCAGUAUAAAUAUUAUAAUGUGUUUGAGCAAGUGAUACCUACCUUUAUUAAAUUAUUUGGAAUUUUAGGUGAGUAAAAAACAUGAAGCUAAUAGUUAUGAACAUCUGUUAUAUAAGUAAUUUUCAAGGAUUUUUUUUUAAAUUUACCCAUCUGUUACUACCAUGUGGAUCAAUUACUUGUUUGGCUGGGAGAAAGGGUGUGUGCCUCUAUGUGUGGUGGUGGAACUAACAUAAUAUUAUGGGAAAUGAUGCAUAAUCGGUAAUUUUGAAUAUGUGAUAAAAUUAUUGCCUUGGUAUUAUAGAAUUUACAGAAAUCAAAUGCCUAUGUAAAAUAGAAAUUAUUUAUUUUGCAAAUAUAUGUAUUUUUCUCAAUAUAAAAAGUGCAAUUACCAUUAUGUAUGUUACCUUUACAAAGGUUGAUAAAAUUACUUGAGAUGAA